rnacentral:rRNA from 1 species
UACGAAGGGGGCUAGCGUUGCUCGGAAUUACUGGGCGUAAAGGGCGCGUAGGCGGCGGCGUAAGUUGGAAGUGAAAUCCCAUCGGCUCAACCGUGGAAUCGCUCCCAGUACUGCGUCGCUCGAGGGGGAUAGGGGUCUGCGGAACUACCGGUGGAGCGGUGAAAUGUGUUGAUAUCGGUGGGAACGCCAGUGGCGAAAGCGGCAGACUGGACCCUUCCUGACGCUGAGUGCGCGAAAGCUAGGGGAGCAAACGGG